AUGGAAGAUCCAAGUGUGUUGCUGGAACGACUGCAUCUGCAGGAUGACGAGCGGGAUAAUCUUGUCUGGAAGGAUGAGGCGGAGGAUCCAGAGGAGAAACCGAAGUGGCUUGCGCUGGCUAGGGUUCUGACCACAAAAUCCUUUGGUCAGGGGGCCUUGAUCGCAGACAUGAAAGCGGCAUGGAAUCCCACGAGGGAUGUAGUCUGGAGAAGGAUAAAUUCCAACCUUAUCUCGAUACAGUUCAAUUGUCUGGCGGAUUGGAAUAAGGCGUUGCACCAGGUUCCUUGGGACUUCAAGGCGAUGGCUUUGAUCAUAGCAGAAUAUGAUGGUUUGAAGAACCCGGAAUAUGUCAAGUUGGACAAGAUCGAAACUUGA
rnacentral:rRNA from 1 species